UCCCAAGUAAUGGUUCGACUACGAUGUUCCGGUAACUUUAAACCACGCCGGGUGUUGAAAAGGUGGCCAGUUUUAGAUGCAUUGAUGUGUAGUGAUGCAGUGGACAACUGAGGAUGAUACAAUCAACAUGUUCCUAAACUGUGAUGCAGAAACACAAUGGGAGGAUCCAUCCGUCUCUGACCACAACUACACUUUAAAAUCACAACUCAACCUGAAGCAACCUACAUCUGAUAUGGGAAAACAAUGGUGCAGUUUCCCUGACAGGGCUUAUCCUGGUCCCAGGCUAAAAUGCAUAUUU